rnacentral:rRNA from 1 species
UGGGGAAUCUUCCGCAAUGGACGAAAGUCUGACGGAGCAACGCCGCGUGAGUGAUGACGGCCUUCGGGUUGUAAAGCUCUGUUAAUCGGGACGAAUGGUUCUUGUGCGAAUAGUGCGAGGAUUUGACGGUACCGGAAUAGAAAGCCACGGCUAACUACGUGCCAGCAGCCGCGGUAAUACGUAGGUGGCAAGCGUUGUCCGGAAUUAUUGGGCGUAAAGCGCGCGCAGGCGGAUUGGUCAGUCUGUCUUAAAAGUUCGGGGCUUAACCCCGUGAUGGGAUGGAAACUGCCAAUCUAGAGUAUCGGAGAGGAAAGUGGAAUUCCUAGUGUAGCGGUGAAAUGCGUAGAUAUUAGGAAGAACACCAGUGGCGAAGGCGACUUUCUGGACGAAAACUGACGCUGAGGCGCGAAAGCCAGGGGAGCGAACGGGAUUAGAUACCCCGGUAGUCCUGGCCGUAAACGAUGGGUACUAGGUGUAGGAGGUAUCGACCCCUUCUGUGCCGGAGUUAACGCAAUAAGUACCCCGCCUGGGGAGUACGACCGCAAGGUU